UAUAAAAAAACAGAGGGAGUAUUAUUCUUUUUCUUUUCUGUUGGCAUAUCUUUUCUUUUCUUUAUUUUGUUUUUCAUAGUUCUUUCUGUUAUAUUUUGUCAUGUUUAGAUUUCAAUUUGUUUUGAAGCCAUUUCAUUUUUUAAUAAUAGACAUUAGUAAAUGAACAAUUCUAAUUAAUAUUUAAAUAAUAAAUAAUUCAUUCAUUUCAAUUUAAUUUUUAGAUUUUAGUCCUUUGAAGUAUUAUGAUCAAAAAUAUGCAUGCCAUUGACAUACUGCUAUAUAUAUAACAAUUUGAAAAUUCCCUUUCCUAUAUACUUCAAAUUAAUUGUAACAGUAUUUUAACUGAUAACAUUUUUUACAAAUAUAAUCUUAAAAUUUCAGAAUGAGUUGAGUAAAAUCUAAAUUUCUUUAUUUUAUUACUAAUUGAUGUCCCGCAUCUUGUGCGGACUAAU
rnacentral:lncRNA from 1 species